UUCGAUGCGAGUAUCAACGAGAAUCUUGGCAGUAUUAACGCCUGUUCAAUUUGGGGGGGUUUCUUUCUUUUUUAAAUUGUAAGAUAAAGACCCUACAAUAAUAGACAGGAGCAACAUCAAGAAGCCCCUUUUCAGCACUUUGUUUUUUCAGGAUUUAUAUGUUGGACCAAUGAGUUUGUGAGAGACAUGAAAGUGCCCCUAUUUGUCCUGUGGAAGUCAAAAUACAUCCACUUACCCGUGUUCCCACUCCCAACAGCUAGA
ensembl:lncRNA